UGCUCAUUGGUCAACGUUGGCUCCAGACCAUGUGUAAGUGUAAGUGCAUGUUCCGCAGCGUCCAUUUCGAAACACUUUCGACCCAGUGUUUGGCUUUUUCUCUUCUCUCUCUGCCUCGUCCUCGACUCCAUUUGUCCGUGUUCGCUAUGGGAAAAAAACCUGACUCGAGAAGGAUCUGUUCAGUUAUCUCGAUGGGAUGAGAUUCCAAAGAGAUGCAGCUCUCCGGCACGGGCCCGUGACUUCCAGGCUCCUCAGUCGCUGGACAGCCGGGAGCAAGGAUGUCUCAGUGCCAUUCCGAAGAAUAGAGAACUAACAUGAUCUACCGAGGAACAUAGUUGACUGCAGCAUUGCCAACGGUAGCUUCAGAGCCAGGUCACCAGGUUCGGGAAUUCCACAGGCAGGGUGCUCCAGUUGUUUGUUGAAAACAUUUUAAAAGAUCGACCGAGUAUUGCCGACUUUAGGAACAAAGAGGUUAAUGAAACUGCUGGAACGGAGAGUGCGACUGGCUUCCAUAUAUGGGCCUGAAACCAUCCAUCCAUUUUCAUAGAUUUACCUUUGGACCGGGGGGCAAAGCGAGAGAGAAGUCACGCAGGGCAACAUGCAAAUUCCCAACAGAAAGGCCAAAAAUCUUCUUCAUGUGAGAUGGGAGUUCAGGAGCAGAGAGCGCCAUCAGAGGCUUGGGUCAGCCUUGCAAAGUGAAAGAGAGACAUCUAAUGGUCAUAACAUGAACUGCAAGGUGAUUGCGCCACAGCGGGGCCAGCUAGAACACAGAAGGGAGCUUCUCUGCAGUAAUAUUGGGGAACCAGGCAGUCAGCAGCAGAGCAGUAGAGCUCCAUUUCCCCGCCACAGGCCACAGAAUCAUCUUCUCCUCGCUCCUCCCACUGCUCCUCACCCCCCCACCUCACGAGUCACGUGUGAGCUAGACCUAUCCCAGCUGACUUAAGGUGAAAAGCAGGAGACACCCUGGAUUGGUCGCUGGCAAUCACAGGGCACUAAUACAUAGAGACAGACAACCGUUCGUUGUCACAUUCCCACCGUCACUGAGAAGGAAGUGAACCCACGCUGCUUGCACCGAAUUGAGAUACCCGCGCUUGACAGUGAAGCUGCUGACUUCAAGUGCCACAAGAUGAAAGAUUAAACUGGGCUUUUUUGGUUUGUUUGUUUUAGCCAGUUCAUACCAAGCCAGUGGUCACCCCUCCCUCCUCCACCUGCUCCCCAUCGCCCACCACUGACCUUGGCUGCAUGUGCGUACGUAAGCAUGCAUGCACGACUGUGUGCUUGCAUCAUUCCCAACCCAGUGGGCUUAUUAAUUUUGAUUGAUGACUCCAUUUAUCUUUGGAAUAACAAUUAUCUAAUACCCCACACCGCCAUACAGCCAUCACAGCCCAGUAUGAAAGUGAUAUUACAAACAAAAUGAGAAUUUUGGGGUUUGACAAGGAGCUUGAUGAAAUGGUUUUAUAGUUGGUCUUGAUGCAUGGAAAUGUUAUGCUAAUGAUACCACGAGCCAAGCAGUUUAGCUGGAAAUUAAUCAGGAGACUAG